rnacentral:rRNA from 1 species
GUAGGUGGCAAGCGUUGUCCGGAAUUAUUGGGCGUAAAGCGCGCGCAGGUGGUUCUUUAAGUCUGAUGUGAAAGCCCCCGGCUCAACCGGGGAGGGUCAUUGGAAACUGGGGAACUUGAGUGCAGGAGAGGAAAGUGGAAUUCCACGUGUAGCGGUGAAAUGCGUAGAUAUGUGGAGGAACACCAGUGGCGAAGGCGACUUUCUGGCCUGUAACUGGCACUGAGGCGCGAAAGCGUGGGGAGCAAACAGGGAUUAGAUACCCUGGUAGUCCACGCCGUAAACGAUGAGUGCUAAGUGUUGGGGGGGUUUCCCGCCCCUCAGUGCUGCAGCUAACGCAUUAAGCACUCCGCCUGGGGAGUACGGUCGCAAGACUG